CUGGGCUCCCUGACUGGACCAGAUUAAGAGCCCCAAUCAGCGAACUCAUAUUCUUUGAGGUCCACCUGGCUGACCUUGUUAUCAUCACUUCAAUAUCCAUCUCCCAUGAAUUAAUUUAAAAACAAAACACUCCUGAUUGGAUAAUUCCUGAUAAUCAGUCAAAAAGCACAUUUUCCCACAGGGCAAAUAUAUUAAAGUAAUUGUGCAAGACUGGCUUUUAACUCCUUACGAUUUUUUUCUUGCAUUUCUUGCAGGUUAAACUUUAAUUCCUCAAGAUUUGGGAGUUGUAUGUGCAAUUGGUGAUAAGUUCAUAGCAGUCCAGGUCUUGACACUCAAGGAUCAGAGUCACUAAUCAUGUUCAGCGAUGAUGAAUUCCAAUGUCAAUGAGGCCUGACUGAAGGUCUCACUCUUCAAUAAGCUGCCCUGAGGAAAUCUCAAGUGCGUUCCAUUUUGUGUUGCUUCCUUCAUGUCUAUCCUUUAUCAUCUCUUUUAUUUACAAUUUCAAUUCCGGACCUUUUAUCUCAAGACUCGUGUAUUCCGUUCUGGGCACCACACAUCAGGAAGGACAUAUCUGUAUUGAGAGUGGACUCGGUUGUGAAACCAUCCCUGGGUGAACAGCUUGCCUGCAACACCAUGUGGGCUCACGCACAAAGAAUGGCUCUUCUUCCAGUAUACAAUACAUUCCAGAGGAAUUCAUCAUGCAACAAAAUGAAGAUAUUCUCUCAAUGAAAUGGCAUCACAGAUAAAUAUUAAUUUGGAUGAAUUUGGUAAAUAGAUGGUCACCUCUGUGGAGUGGAGAAAGAAGCACUCUCGGUGAGAGAGCUGUCAGAAAACAUCAGUUGCAAAGAUGGCUGAUAUGAAAAGUUUAUGAAAAAAGUUGCAUACCCAUUAAAAUUUAUUAUGAACCAAAAUGAAUCCCAGAGAGUCAAAGGUUCAAAUGUUUUGACGAAAUCAAGA